GACGAACGCUGGCGGCGUGCCUAAUACAUGCAAGUCGAACGCUGAAGGAGGAGCUUGCUUCUCUGGAUGAGUUGCGAACGGGUGAGUAGCGCGUAGGUAACCUGCCUGGUAGCGGGGGAUAACUUUUGGAAACGAUAGCUAAUACCGCAUAAUAGUAGAUGUUGCAUGACAUUUGCUUAAAAGGUGCAAUUGCAUCACUACCAGAUGGACCUGCGUUGUAUUAGCUAGUUGGUGGGGUAACGGCUCACCAAGGCGACGAUACAUAGCCGACCUGAGAGGGGGGUCGGCCAGACUGGGACUGAGACACGGCCCAGAGGGCUACGGGAGGCAGCAGGAGGGAAUCGUCGGCAAGGGACGGAAGUCAGACCGAGAAACGCCGAGGGAGGGAAGAAGGAUGUCGGAUCGGAAAGCUCGGUUGUAAGGGAAGAAAGAGUGUGAGAGUGGAAAGUUCACACUGUGACGGUAUCUGACCAGAAAGGAACGGCUAACUACGUG
rnacentral:rRNA from 1 species